UACGAAGGGGGCUAGCGUUGUUCGGAAUUACUGGGCGUAAAGCGCGCGCAGGCGGUUCUUCAAGUCAGUGGUGAAAGCCCGGAGCUCAACUCCGGAACUGCCAUUGAAACUGUAGAACUUGAGGAUGAGAGAGGUGAGUGGAAUUCCCAGUGUAGAGGUGAAAUUCGUAGAUAUUGGGAAGAACACCGGUGGCGAAGGCGGCCUGCUGGGCAGUAGCUGACGCUGAGGCGCGACAGCGUGGGGGAGCAAACAGG
rnacentral:rRNA from 1 species